UUGGAGCGCUGCCAAACAAAAAUGAUUCUUUUUUUUUUUUAAUAUAGUGAGUCAUGUUUGUGUGUAAAGUGGGUACAUGUGGAAAAUGAAUCUUGGCAAUAGCUAUCCCGGCUGCAAUAGAUUAACUGUUAGAUUGUUUUUUUAGCCACCCAUCGUAUUGACUUGUAAUAUUUGUUUAAAAAAAAAUCAAUUUUAGUAGUAAUAAAAAAGAAGUUUUAUGUAUGGCUCAAUUCUUUCUUCAUGCAUGUAAUAUACUUUUCAAUGUAAGUUGUAUAUCG
rnacentral:lncRNA from 1 species